GCCAACAGUCGCGUUGGUAGAACAUGAGACUCUUAAUCUCAGAGUUGUGGGUUCAAGCCCCAUGCUGGGCA